rnacentral:rRNA from 1 species
GCUUAUGGCCAUACCACCCUGAGCACGCCCGAUCUCGUCUGAUCUCGGAAGCUAAGCAGGGUCGGUCCUGGUUAGUACUUGGAUGGGAGACUGCCUGUGAAUACCAGGUGCUGUAAGCU